rnacentral:lncRNA from 1 species
AUUGGACCGCCUUUUGAGCCUAUUACCCCUAAACCCACAAAAAGCCUAAUUUUCUAAUAACUCUUCACCCUUAAGACACCCCAAAACGAACGCUAUCUAGCUUCUUCUUGGGGAACCCUUGGACAAACAUAAGCUGGAUCAACAACAAAUACCAAAAGAAAGGCCAACGCUACCGGCCCCCAGCCCCAUUCCCAUCACCGCCAUUCACCCCUAAGCUUCAAAACACAUCAACCAAGCACCCUUUCUUCUUCUUCACCCUCAUCUCCACCAAAAACCAGCCGCCCAUCACAACCGCCGACCAUACUCCACCUUACAAUAGUCGGCGUCCAAGACAGAAAGCCACCCAAAAAUAGUUGCACCGCACCCUCCCCUCUAAAAUUUGCUCCAAACAUCCCUAGGAGUCUGUGGUCCACCCCAAAGAGACUCGUCACAGAACCUGUUUUUGAUUUUGAAAUUUGUUUUAUUCUCAACUAAAAAAUAUAUACACAUGCAUAGACAUAGCUGAAUAGGGAGGUAGCGAGGCAGUAAGGUCAGAGUUCGACGAGGUUUCCAACAAGGUUUUCAAGUUUGUUUCGUUGCUUAGCAUUGUUAAACUGUCAAAGCGCCGACUUCCAGAUCUGUUCCAGGCUAUUCCUGCCUCUCUUGUACUAUUUUAGCUAAAUUUAAUGCUUCCAUUAAACUUGUUAAUCUUUAUUUGAUAUGUUUUCUUGAUCUUUUAAUUAGUGCUUCAUUUUUGCUCGUGACACCAUGGUAGAAUUGUUUUUGCAUUUUUUUCUGGUUCUUUCAAUUAUUGGUUGUCCGUUUCUUUCAUGUAAUUUU